CGGCUACAAGCAACAAGCAAAGAUCCUCUCUACCAUAUCUCUCAGUAGCGAUAAUCAUCGAUCCAUGCUCAGGUAUCGAGUUCUAAACUUAGAUUAAAAGUAGAUGUGAUCUCUUACUCACAUGCAUGUAUGAUGAUUUUAUCUUCAGUAUUUUUUAGAUUUUAUAUGCAACAUAUCAUGUCAUAGAUCCUAGAGUAGGUUGAUUUGAUGAUUAGAUCAUAUGUAUGUUAGAU
rnacentral:lncRNA from 1 species